CCUACGGGAGGCAGCAGUGGGGAAUUUUGGACAAUGGGCGCAAGCCUGAUCCAGCAAUGCCGCGUGAGUGAAGAAGGCCUUCGGGUUGUAAAGCUCUUUUGUCAGGGAAGAAACGGUGUGGGCUAAUAUCCCGCACUAAUGACGGUACCUGAAGAAUAAGCACCGGCUAACUACGUGCCAGCAGCCGCGGUAAUACGUAGGGUGCAAGCGUUAAUCGGAAUUACUGGGCGUAAAGCGUGCGCAGGCGGUUUUGUAAGUUUGUCGUGAAAUCCCCGGGCUCAACCUGGGAAUGGCGAUGAAGACUGCAAGGCUAGAAUCUGGCAGAGGGGGGUAGAAUUCCACGUGUAGCAGUGAAAUGCGUAGAGAUGUGGAGGAACACCGAUGGCGAAGGCAGCCCCCUGGGUCAAGAUUGACGCUCAUGCACGAAAGCGUGGGGAGCAAACAGGAUUAGAUACCCUGGUAGUCCACGCCCUAAACGAUGUCUACUAGUUGUCGGGUUUUAAUUAACUUGGUAACGCAGCUAACGCGUGAAGUAGACCGCCUGGGGAGUACGGUCGCAAGAUUAAAACUUAAAGGAAUUGACGG
rnacentral:rRNA from 1 species